CAUCCCCACUUGCCCAGCGGACAACAUCUCUCUCACGGACAGUCGAACUCCGGCACAUUCUGUGUCUGUGUGAGCCUCUGACGUAGAUGGUGUGUUUCUCAUCUGUGCCGUUUGCGCAUCACCCUCACACUCCCCCCUCCUUUUCCGAGAGGCUGACGCCGGACUCAAUCUGGUCGAUCGUUCUUGCAGCUCGCCCCAACACGUGCACGUCUUUGUGCGCCGCCCAUCUUGUACCUUCUUCUGUUUCUCGUUCUUUCUGCUUACCUCUCCCAGAUCUUUAAGGGUGAGAGACGACUCCUGUAGCAAUGCAUGCCACGAAAUCCGGUGUUACAACCCUCUCGGCUAGCGCCGGCAAGUCGGACGUACCGGUUAUGCCCGCGGGCUACGAGGACGCAGCUGGCCAGCCCAACGCUGUCUUCGUCAACGUGUACGACAUCAUGAAGUCCAACUCUUGGCUUUGGUCGGUCGGCCUUGGCGUGCACCACGCUGGUAUUCAGGUGUACGACAAGGAGUACCAGUACGGCCGCUGCGAGGAGGGCAGCGGCGUCCGUGUCGUCGAGCCUCGCCACUCGCCGCCGCACAUUUUCCGCGAGCAGUUCUUUGUCGGGCAGACACAGCUGAGCGCUCUAGAAGUGCGGGAGCUCGUUGCCAGGCUCGAGCAGCGUGACACGUGGCAGGGCAACAAGUAUCACCUCGUGAAGCACAACUGCAUCCACUUCGCGCACGCACUCUGCGAAGCGCUGCUGCCGCCUCACGUACGGGUGGCACAGAUGCGCACGGCGCUCCCGUCUACGUACCAGAGUGCGUACAUGGAGGAAGUCGAGGUGGAUGGCCAACAGUACUCAUUGCCGGUGCUCAUUCCUCCUCACGUGAGCCGCCUGGGCAGCUACGCUGCCUCCUACCUGCCAGAGUCCGUUCUGCAGCUGCUGGACUCUAUGGACAACCCCUUCAGCACCCCCUGAGCAUGGGCUAGAGGCGCACCGCUGGUGUCUAUGUAUGUUUGUGUGUGCCUGCAAGUCCGCGAAUUGGUGCGGCAGAGGAGUGGGUGAGGAGCGGCGCAUGUACUCGCGCAUAGUGCCCGCGGCUGCCUUUUUUUCGGGUGUAGCCCUAAGCGAAGACGCAUCCUAAGCGAGCAUGUGCCCCCCGGCCCUCACCUCACGCCCUGUCCCCACCCCUUCUUCUAGAACCUCUGCUUCAGCGUAGGUAAGCCCAUAGCAAGCCGGAAGAGCGCCGCUCGCUUGAGCGCUUCCUCCUCUUCUUCUGUCUACCUUUCUCCUUCUGUGCAUGUGAGCGUCGGCGCACGUCUCAGGGGUUUGCCCGUCCCUCUUCCCCG
rnacentral:misc_RNA from 1 species